ensembl:miRNA
UCCCCAGUGCAGGUGCGGGCUGAGCACACGGCAGCACAUGGGCAGAUGAGGUCGUGUGACUCCCGUCUGUGCUCUCUGCCCCUCUCAAG